ensembl:lncRNA
UUUCAGGAACUUGAUUCCAAUAUAUUGGGAUCAGUAAACAUCUUGCUGAAAUAAACUUUCUGCCUGAGAGCCUGUCUCCCUUACCCGUGGGGCAGGUCUGGGGAGGGAGGAGCUGGAAGAGCACAUGCCCUUUGCCCAUGGAGUCCCCGGCUGAUCGCACUAACUUCAAUUCAGAACACACUGGAAAGCCAAAAUCAAGAUCACAGAGUGCUGGGGACACCUGAAGCUGCUCCAUGUCUUAGCUGCCUCAAAGAAAGGAUGGAAUGGGAGACCAUGGACCUUUCUCAAGGAGGACCAUCUAGAGGACCGUGCUCAGAGGUUCUGAUGCUCUGGAGGACGUGGGAAGACACAGAUUACUGGGCCUCACCCCAGAGUGUCUGAUUCAGCAGGUCUGGGGUAAGGACCCAAAGUUUGCAUUUCUGUGUUGUUCCCAUUUCUGAGAAUGGAGAACCACAGCCAGAGAUGAACGGCUCUCAGCCCUGGUUGCGUGUAGGGGUCACUGUGCUGUGCUGUGCUUUGUUGCUCAGUUGUGCUGGACUCUUUGCGACCCCAUGGACUGUAACCUCCAGGUUACCUGAAUUCUCCAGAAGAUACUACAGCAGGAAGACGGAAAGAAUCUGAGUUCUCAGUGGUGUCCAUACUUGACCACUGAAACUGAGAACCCCGAAGCUGCACCAUCUCAGGACUUCCUGAGAUGUGGAAGUAAUAAAUGUCUUUAUUAUUAAAUGGCAUGGGUUGGUGCUUUCUAGUACUUUCAACUGAAAGCAUUACAGUUGCUACAGAUGUGAAAUCUUUUGGCAAGGAGCCAGCAGCCACAAUCAACAGCUUUAUUGAUUUCUUUAUUCAGUGAAAGUCUACUGAGGGCAUUCUGUGUGUCAGGAUGGUUCUGGGUAGUGGAGAGCUUGAGAGAGGGCCUUGCUGUCAUAGAGCUGCGUUCCAGUGGGUGAAGACAGACACGAAAGUAAUAAUUUCAGAUAAUGUUCA